CAAGUGCUGGGAUUACAGGCGUGCACCACCAUGCCCGGAGGGACCUGGUCCAUCCUACAGAAUUUAACAGAGCUGCACCAUUUGGCAGAGGGUAAUACCUGACCAGCGAGUCGUCAGACUUCCUUCACAUGUCCGCUGAUGUGCUGGCUCACGUUGCCAUGAAGUGGGCAGCUUCCCACCAUCACACCCUUCUGCCAUGCUGUUUCUGCCUCACCACAGGCCUAAAAGCAAUGGAGACAGCUGACCAUGGACUGAACCUCUGAAACCAAACUGUGAGCCACAAUAAGCCCUUUCUCCCUUAAAUUGCUCUUCUUAGGUAUAUUGUCACAGUGACAGAAAGCUGACUAACAUACUGCCCAAGUCUAUCCCCUCCCUCAGUCAUACCUGACACCGCCCAGUCUAUGACUCGGCUGAGUUCUGCAACACAGACCACUCCCUGCUUGGGACAAUGGGCUCCAGGACCUCCUCCAUUGCUUUCUUGUUAUGGUUGAUACGUUGUGUCAACUUGGGGAGUCUAGAGGUUUGGUUAAGUGACUCAGCAGUUCUGCAUCCUGGGGCGAAAAGAACACGCCCUUACAGCUCUAGGAUGCUAUUUAUUGUGUCAAUUUGAGAAGUUUAGAAGGUUAACUAUGUCACUCAGCAGGGAGCCAGGGUGCUUACUUUGUAUUCAUCCUGAGCCUGUGCAAGAGGAAGGCACGCAGAGGGUGUGGGUGUAGAGGACCACCCCUCAACCCCCCAGGGCAGGAGCUCCAGUUUUUACCUUAGGCUUGGUCAUCUCCUGGCUUCUGGUGCAGACUGUUUGGCUUCCGCCUGGGCCUCUGCAGCCUUCUGGUGCAGUCUCUCCGGCCUUCGGCCUUCAUCGUAGAGUCUUCAGCAUUUCACCGCAGACCCCAUUAGCCUCCUGAUACAGAAUUGCACAGACACUGCAGUGAGCUCCAGGCCCGGGGCUGGGCUCUUCAAUCUCCAGCCUGCAGACACCCUCUGCAC